AGUCUGGCCUGCCCAAUGAUUUUUGAAUGGCCGCAGUAUUUUGACUGUGCAAAGGUAGCAUAAUCAUUAGUUUUUUAAUUGAAAGCUGGAAUGAAAGGUUUGAUGAGAAAAUGACUGUCUCAGUUUAAUUGAUUUAGAAUUUCAAUUUUAAGUGAAAAAGCUUAAAUUUUUUAUAAAGACGAGAAGACCCUAUAGAGUUUUAUAUUUAUUAAUUUAUUAGUAUUGUGGGAUUAAUUAGCUGGUAUUUUAAUGAUUAUUUUGUUGGGGCGAUGGGAAAAUUUGAUAAACUUUUUUUUGUUUUUUACAUUUAUUUAUGAAUAAAUGAUCCUUGUUUUUGGAUUAUAAGACUAAAUUACCUUAGGGAUAACAGCGUAAUUUUUCUUGGAGAGUUCUUAUCGAUAGGAAAGUUUGCGACCUCGAUGUUGGAUUAAAAUUAAAUUUUGGUGUAGGGGCUAAAAUUUUAGGUCUGUUCGACCUUUAAAAUUUU
rnacentral:rRNA from 1 species